GGCCCUAUAGCUCAGUGGUAGACCAUCUGCCUUGUGUGCAGAAGGUUCCAGGUUCAGUCCCCAGCAUCUCCACGUAGGGCUG